rnacentral:lncRNA from 1 species
CUUCUUUUCUCCAAUAUGCUCCAGUUUCUCUGUUAAUGAGUAUACAUUACAUUCUGAUGGGGAAAAAAAAAAAAGAGCUCUGAUUCAAAAGAGGCAUUUUCAGCCGGGCAUGCUGGCUCACACCUGUAAUCCCAGCACUUUGGGAGGCCGAGGUGGGCAGAUCACGUGAGGUCAGUUUGGGACCAGCCUGACCAACAUGGCGAAACCCCAUCUCUAUCAAAAAUACAAAAAUUAGCUGGGUGUGGUGGCACGUGAGUGUAAUCCCAGCUAAUUGGGAGGCUGAGGCAGGAGAAUCACUUGAACACAGGAGGCGGAGUUUGCAGUGAGCCAAGAUUGCACCACUACACUCCAGCCUGGGUGACAGAGUGAGACUUCAUCUCCAAAAAGAGGCAUUUCCCAGCAGGGAUGGCCCAGUUGCCAGUUGCUAGGCUGGCAUAGUGGGUGAAAACCCCAGCCUCCCAGAGUCACUGAGGAAGGGAGAGAGACAGACAGGAGGACUCUAACUCUCUCCGCUUGGGCUUGGUGGAGGUGGAGGGUGGGAAUUAAUUGAGUACCUACUGUGUGCUACCUCCCAGGCACUGUACGCACAGCAGCCUUAACAGACAGCCAUUUCUAGUCUUGCUGUACACAUGAGGAAACUGAGGCUUAGAGCGAUGUGUUCAUGCUUGUCUCUUCAGGUCACAUGGAAUGAUGGUGAUCGAUAUAGACGUGAUCUCAGAGUUCACUCCCUCAUCAUACAGUGGAGGAAACGAGGCCCAGGGAGGGGCGGAACAUUUUUCCAAGUCAUACAGCAAGAACUCAGAGGCCUCUUGGUUCCUGCUCUUGCCUUGAGGUGGUUCUGCGGGGCGCUCCAGAGCCCCCAAGAAAUUCUUCUGAAAUUCAGUUCUCCACAGGACACCUGGGCUCCUCCUCUGUCCUCCCAGCCCCUCACAGAGGAGUAGUUUCCCUUCUGGCCUGCCUAAGUCUGUCUUGUCUUCUGGACUUCAGUGGCCACCAUGGACCUCCCAAGCUUUCUCUUGGGCUCUUCCAGUGCCGACCUCAGCUUGGCUGCCUCACACUCUGUCUGGUGGGCACUUACAGGAGCCAUGUCCACAGACCACCUCGCCUGGGCUGUGGAGGCCCCGUUCUGAGACCACGUGCAGUCCAAAAAAGGAAGCUAAAAGGGGUCAGAGGAAAACAUCCCCGUGUAGGGUGAGGGUGAAUCUCAGUCUCCCUGUCAACUCUCUUUAUCCUGACAUCCAGAAUUCCAGACCUUUGUGGGCACUGAUCCCUGAGACUGGGCUCUUUAAGCUCUUUCACUGAUCCCUGGGGUCCGAAACUUUCAGCUUGCACUUUGGUUUGGUAAACCACUGACUGUCCUACCAAACGCCCCCGCACCCCACAAACUCAACCUGUGCUCUUCAUGUGCUAUCUCCUGUUCGAUCCCCACACUGACCUUCUGGGUUAGGGACUUGCAUGUCCCCAUUUUAUAGAUGAGGAGCCUGAGGCCCAGAGAGGCUGGAGUGCAAUGGUAUGAUCUUGGCUCACUGCAACCUCCGCCUCCUGGAUUCAAGCAAUUCUCCUGCCUCAGCUUCCCAAAUAGAUUCCAGACAUUGUAUGGAAAAGCAUCGUGAAAAUCCCUGGCCUGUUCUGCUCUGUUCUGAUUACCGGUGCGUGCAGCCCGCAGUCACGUACCCGCUGGUUGCUCAAUCGAUCACGACCCUCUCACACGGACCCCCUUAGAGCUGUAAGCCCUUAAAAGGGACAGGAAUUGCUCGCUCGGGGAGCUCGGUUUUUGGAGACGUGAGUCCGCCGGUGCUCCCAGCUGAAUAAAGCCCUUUCCUUCCACAACUCGGUUUCUGAGGGGUUCUUUUCUGC